UACGUAGGGGGCAAGCGUUGUCCGGAAUUAUUGGGCGUAAAGAGCUCGUAGGCGGUCUGUCGCGUCUGCUGUGAAAACUCGAGGCUCAACCUCGAGACGUCGGCGGAAACCAUCUGGCUAGAGUCCGGAAGAGGAGAGUGGAAUUCCGUGGUGUAAGCGGUGAAAUGCGCAGAUAUCAGGAAGAACACCCGUGGCGAAGGCGGCUCUCUGGGACGGUACUGACGCUGAGGAGCGAAAGCGUGGGGAGCGAACAGG
rnacentral:rRNA from 1 species